rnacentral:rRNA from 1 species
GAAGGGGGCUAGCGUUGUUCGGAAUUACUGGGCGUAAAGCGUGCGCAGGCGGCCAUCCAAGUCAGUGGUGAAAGCCCGGAGCUCAACUCCGGAAUUGCCAUUGAAACUGUUCGGCUCGAGUACGAGAGAGGUGAGUGGAAUUCCCAGUGUAGAGGUGAAAUUCGUAGAUAUUGGGAAGAACACCGGUGGCGAAGGCGGCUCACUGGCUCGUUACUGACGCUCAUGCACGACAGCGUGGGGAUCAAACAGGAUUAGAUACCCUGGUAGUCCACGCCGUAAACGAUGAACGCUAGCCGUUGGCCAGCUUGCUGGUCAGUGGCGCAGCUAACGCAUUAAGCGUUCCGCCUGGGGAGUACGGCCGCAAGGUUG